AUCAGUUAAAACUUUCAACAAUGGAUCUCUUGGUUCCGGCAUCGAUGAAGAACGCAGCGAAAUGCGAUAACUAAUGUGAAUUGCAGAAUUCAGUGAAUCAUCGAGUCUUUGAACGCACAUUGCGCCCCCUGGUAUUCCGGGGGGCAUGCCUGUCCGAGCGUCA
rnacentral:rRNA from 2 species